CCAAAUUAAAAAUGCAAAACAAAAUGUCGGCCAUGAUAGCUGGAAAGCGAAAGUACAAAUCUGGGGCACAAAAGAGAGCCGAAAAAAAGAAAAAAACGACCGACCCCCCUAGGAAGGUCGCGCCGUGAGACACGUACGGUGCGUUUCGUCACUAACGAUGUAUGACAAAAGGGCCCGACACAAAAUAUGCGUAAGGGCCCCGUGUUCCUCCGUUACGCUACUGGGCUUCGUAUUACGUUCAUGUUGUAAAUACCUUAUUGACAUAGGCGUACGAGACAGGGGGCGGGGGGUGGGGGGGGGGCAAUGGCCCCCAAAAUUUGGAAAACCAUGGAAAU